GGUGCGUAACGCGUAAGCAACCUGCCCACAACUGGGGGAUAGCCCGGCGAAAGCUGGGGUAAACCCGCAUGGUCCUUGACCCUCACCUGGGGGUUCAGGUAAACAUUUGGGUUGUGGAGGGGCUUGCGUCUGAUUAGCUAGUUGGCGGGGUAAGGGCCCACCAAGGCGAUGAUCAGUAGGGGUUCUGAGAGGAUUGGCCCCCACAUGGGUACUGAGAGACGGACCCAACUCCUACGGGAGGCAGCAGUAGGGAAUAUUGGGCAAUGGAGGCAACUCUGACCCAGCCAUGCCGCGUGGAGGAAGAAGGCGCUCAGCGUUGUAAACUUCUUUUAUCAGGGAAGAACGGUACCCUUGCGAGGGUAUGUGCCGGUACCUGAGGAAUAAGCACCGUAACUCCGUGCCAGCAGCCGCGGUAAUACGGAGGGUGCAAGCGUUGUCCGGAUUUAUUGGGUUUAAAGGGUGCGUAGGUGGGUGCUCAAGUCUGGUUUGAAAGCAGGCGGCUUAACCGUGUGAUGUGGCUGGAAACUGGGCAUCUUGAAUGGGUUGGCGGUAGCCGGAACGGGUCAUGUAGCGGUGAAAUGCAUAGAUAUGACCCAGAACACCGAUUGCGAAGGCAGGCUACUAGGACUUGAUUGACACUGAGGCACGAGAGCAUGGGGAGCGAACAG
rnacentral:rRNA from 1 species